UACGUAGGGUGCGAUCGUUGUCCGGAAUUAUUGGGCGUAAAGCGCUCGUAGGCGGUGUGUCACGUCGAUCGUGAAAACUUGGGGCUUAACCCUGAGCUUGCGGUCGAUACGGGCAUCACUGGAGUUCGGCAGGGGAGACUGGAAUUCCUGGUGUAGCGGUGAAAUGCGCAGAUAUCAGGAGGAACACCGGUGGCGAAGGCGGGUCUCUGGGCAACAACUGACGCUGAGGAGCGAAAGCGUGGGGAGCGAACAGG
rnacentral:rRNA from 1 species